CCUACGGGAGGCAGCAGUAGGGAAUCUUCCACAAUGGACGAAAGUCUGAUGGAGCAACGCCGCGUGAGCGAUGAAGGCCUUCGGGUCGUAAAGCUCUGUUGUUAGGGAAGAACAAGUACCGGAGUAACUGCCGGUACCUUGACGGUACCUAACCAGAAAGCCACGGCUAACUACGUGCCAGCAGCCGCGGUAAUACGUAGGUGGCAAGCGUUGUCCGGAAUUAUUGGGCGUAAAGCGCGCGCAGGCGGUCCUUUAAGUCUGAUGUGAAAGCCCACGGCUCAACCGUGGAGGGUCAUUGGAAACUGGGGGACUUGAGUGCAGAAGAGGAAAGCGGAAUUCCACGUGUAGCGGUGAAAUGCGUAGAGAUGUGGAGGAACACCAGUGGCGAAGGCGGCUUUCUGGUCUGUAACUGACGCUGAGGCGCGAAAGCGUGGGGAGCAAACAGGAUUAGAUACCCUGGUAGUCCACGCCGUAAACGAUGAGUGCUAAGUGUUAGGGGGUUUCCGCCCCUUAGUGCUGCAGCUAACGCAUUAAGCACUCCGCCUGGGGAGUACGGCCGCAAGGUUAAAACUUAAAGGAAUUGACGG
rnacentral:rRNA from 1 species